CAGCAGCCACGGUAAUACGUAGGUGGCAAGCGUUGUCCGGAUUUAUUGGGCGUAAAGGGCUCGCAGGCGGUUUCUUAAGCCUGAUGUGAAAGCCCCCGGCUCAACCGGGGAGGGUCAUUGGAAACUGGGAAACUUGAGUGCAGAAGAGGAGAGUGGAAUUCCACGUGUAGCGGUGAAAUGCGUAGAGAUGUGGAGGAACACCAGUGGCGAAGGCGACUCUCUGGUCUGUAACUGACGCUGAGGAGCGAAAGCGUGGGGAGCGAACAGGAUUAGAUACCCCAGUAGUCCCUGUCUCUUAUAC
rnacentral:rRNA from 1 species